UACGUAGGGUCCGAGCGUUGUCCGGAUUUAUUGGGCGUAAAGAGCUCGUAGGCGGCUCGGUAAGUCGGAUGUGAAAACUCGGGGCUCAACCCCGAGACGCCAUCCGAUACUGCUGUGGCUUGAGUCUGGUAGGGGAGAACGGAAUUCCUGGUGUAGCGGUGAAAUGCGCAGAUAUCAGGAGGAACACCAAUUGCGAAGGCAGCUCGCUGGGACGGUACUGACGCUGAGACGCGAAAGCGUGGGGAGCAAACAGG
rnacentral:rRNA from 1 species